CAACUACUCCCUCUGUCCCAAAUUUCUUGUCUUAGAUUUGUCUAGAUACGGAUGUAUCUGUGACUUGAUACAUCUGUAUCUAGACAAAUCUAAGACAAGAAUUUUGGGACGGAGGGUGUACUUU
rnacentral:pre_miRNA from 1 species